UACGUAGGCAGCAAGCGUUGUUCGGAAUUACUGGGCGUAAAGAGUGUGUAGGUGGUGUUCUAAGUUUGGUGUGAAAUCUCCCGGCUCAACUGGGAGGGUGCGCCGAAAACUGGAAUGCUAGAGUAUGGGAGAGGUAAGCGGAAUUCCUGGUGUAGCGGUGAAAUGCGUAGAUAUCAGGAGGAACACCUGUGGUGUAGACAGCUUACUGGACCACUUCUGACGCUGAGACACGAAAGCGUGGGUAGCAAACAGG
rnacentral:rRNA from 1 species